CCGGACCAUGAUCGCGCUGGUGCUCCGAGAGGAGCUUAAUAGGGAACGCGGUGUGGGCGCUUGCGCCCGAAGCCGAGGCUGUCCCUGCAACUGUAAGCGGCGAGCGAGAUGCGCGGGCUUCCUCCGAUGGAAGCAGCCACUGGGCCUUUGGCCUGGGAAGGUGUGCAUCGAGUGACGACCCGUGAGCCAGGAGACCUGCCAGCGAGAGGUCGCUCUU
rnacentral:ncRNA from 2 species